GGAGUCGGCCAGACAAUCGCUGUAAGCCUCUGGCUUGCGGAGGAAAGUCCGGGCUCCUUCGGACGAGGCGCCAGGUAACGCCUGGGGGGCGUGAGCCCACGGAAAGUGCCACAGAAAAUAUACCGCCGGCUUUGCCGGUAAGGGUGAAAAGGUGCGGUAAGAGCGCACCGCGCGACUGGCAACAGUUCGCGGCACGGUAAACCCCGCCUGGAGCAAGACCAAAUAGGGGAGUAAGGGCUUUAUGCCCACCGUCGGUUCCGAACGGACUCCCGGGUAGGUUGCUAGAGGCAGUUGGUAACAGCUGUCCCAGAUGAAUGGUUGUCGAUGACAGAACCCGGCUUAUUGCUGGCUCCGGCU
rnacentral:RNase_P_RNA from 1 species